ACUGCUGCCUCCCGUAGGAGUAGGGGGAAUCUUCCACAAUGGACGCAAGUCUGAUGGAGCAACGCCGCGUGAGUGAAGAAGGCUUUCGGGUCGUAAAACUCUGUUGUUGGAGAAGAAUGGUCGGCAGAGUAACUGUUGUCGGCNNGACGGUAUCCAACCAGAAAGCCACGGCUAACUACNUGCCAGCAGCCGCGGUAAUAC
rnacentral:rRNA from 1 species